UCAAAUAAUAAUUAAAUCAAUAUUAUUGGGCAACGAUGGACACUUACAAGAGAUGGUUAAAAGAAAAACGGGAAACCCAUAAAUCAAAUUUCCUCUCUUUCUUUGAUUUUCCAGACAUGUAACAAUCCCUACCGCAAAGAGAAAGGUAGACAUCUGACUAUGUCUGAUUGAAUCAACCAAAUCUCUACAUACAUAAUGCAUGAAGUCUUGAGUGGUAUAGUGUACAGAGAUUGCAUAUGCUCAAGCAAAUAUAUGCAAAUGCAAAACAAGUCAAUGAGAGAGAUGCAGAGUCCAGAUGUAGCUCAAAUAAUAAUUAACCAAUAUUAUUGGGCAACGAUGGACACUUACAAGAGAUGGUUAAAAGAAAAACGGGAAACCCAUAAAUCAAAUUUCCUCUCUUUCUUUGAUUUUCCAGACAUGUAACAAUCCCUACCGCAAAGAGAAAGGUAGACAUCUGACUAUGUCUGAUUGAAUCAACCAAAUCUCUACAUACAUAAUGCAUGAAGUCUUGAGUGGUAUAGUGUACAGAGAUUGCAUAUGCUCAAGCAAAUAUAUGCAAAUGCAAAACAAGUCAAUGAGAGAGAUGUAGAGUCCAGAUGUAGCUCAAAUAAUAAUUAAACCAAUAUUAUUGGGCAACGAUGAACACUUAAAAGAGAUGGUUAAAAGAAAAACGGGAAACCCAUAAAUCAAAUUUCCUCUCUUUCUUUGAUUUUCCAGACAUGUAACAAUCCCUACCACGAUAAUACACAGUAGGCAUCUGACUAUGUCUGGUAUAAAAUCAUUGCAAUCAAACCGCCUUGAAGUAGACUCAAAAAUGAAAUAUUAGCACUUCGCAGCCAAUCUUUAGUGAAAAAGCAAUUUUUUU
rnacentral:lncRNA from 1 species